UGGGCAACCUGCCUGUUAGACUGGGUUAACCCCGGGAAACCGGGGCUAAUACCGGAUAAUACUUUUCGUUGCAUAACGAGAAGUUGAAAGGCGGCUCCUUUAGCUGUCACUUACAGAUGGGCCCGCGGCGCAUUAGCUAGUUGGUAAGGUAACGGCUUACCAAGGCGACGAUGCGUAGCCGACCUGAGAGGGUGAUCGGCCACACUGGGACUGAGACACGGCCCAGACUCCUACGGGAGGCAGCAGUAGGGAAUCUUCCGCAAUGGACGAAAGUCUGACGGAGCAACGCCGCGUGAGUGAUGAAGGUUUUCGGAUCGUAAAACUCUGUUGUCAGGGAAGAACAAGUGCCGUUCAAAUAGGGCGGCACCUUGACGGUACCUGACCAGAAAGCCCCGGCUAACUACGUGCCAGCAGCCGCGGUAAUACGUAGGGGGCAAGCGUUGUCCGGAAUUAUUGGGCGUAAAGCGCGCGCAGGCGGUCCUUUAAGUCUGAUGUGAAAGCCCACGGCUUAACCGUGGAGGGCCAUUGGAAACUGGAGGACUUGAGUACAGAAGAGGAGAGUGGAAUUCCACGUGUAGCGGUGAAAUGCGUAGAGAUGUGGAGGAACACCAGUGGCGAAGGCGACUCUCUGGUCUGUAACUGACGCUGAGGUGCGAAAGCGUGGGGAGCGAACAGGAUUAGAUACCCUGGUAGUCCACGCCGUAAACGAUGAGUGCUAGGUGUUAGGGGGUUUCCGCCCCUUAGUGCUGA
rnacentral:rRNA from 1 species